CAGAACUGUGGAGGACUUGUGUGCCUUUGAUUUUCUACUUCGUAGUCGAGCUCCACUUACCGCACCGUGUUAAGAGGCAGUUCUCAAGAUUGCAAGACUUCCCUCCGGAGGCUAUUUCGACAUCCCAGGCAUUGCAUCGAAUUGACAAGAAGAAACGCUACACAGAGAAUGAUUGGCGUGUCAAACACGUAGUGCCUCUGGGGCAGUGGGAACAGAGGCAAAGGAUGGAUCCGGAAAGUGGGCCAGCACAUAGGCACAACCAUUACAAGGAAUACCUUCGUUGGUUCCAUUCAGUCACCAGAGUUUCAAUCAAGCCGCCACGAUCAACUGAGCCUAUAGAAGAUCAUGCGGACACCGACGAUGAUGAUGACAUCAUCGACGAGUACGAUGACAUCACUCGCGGUGGAGUGCAGCCCAAAAGGGGCCCUUUGCAGAACUACAUGGCACAACAACUCGGGCGUCUCGCUAACGAGGUAGGCGUGGCAAUGGCUCAUGCAAGUGAAGGAGACAAUGGAGGGGGCCACUUUAGGGCAUUUGUCGAGAGGGUCCGCCGGAGUUGCAGGCGGAUGGCCGCGAAGCUUAAUUGCAUGGCUCGCCUUGACGAGGAGUUUGGUCCACAGGCACCUGGUGCAGGAGCUUCGAGUGCACGUGGCCCUAGUUCUACCACACGGACACCGAUUCACUAUAGUAACGUGACCACUACUACUCCUUUGCCUUCUGCUUCCAGAAGUCGGUCGUGGUCCACUUCGAGGACGGCGUCACGUGCAGGAUCAAGGGGAAAAGCUAUCCAAUCACCCCCAAUCCAGUAAAGAGUCUGACCAGGAAGAGAACUCAAAAGAUGAUGACCCAAGCUACCAGGUGCUCAGGAUGUCACAGAUGUUUGACGCUCCCCCAGCAACGCAGACCCAGGGUGAAUCGAGCCAGGCACCACAAGAUGCUCCUCCGCCUCGCCGACAACGCCGCUCUCGUGACCACACUGACGUUGGUAGUGGGAACGUGCUCCCAACAGCGCCUGGAUGGCAACGGCGCCGCAACGAUCCUUUCAACCCUCCCGACCAGCGCCGCCGCCGGAGAUGAAGCAAUAGCUGCUCUAUGUGCCUCGAGUUAUUCUAAACAUGUCAACUAGAACUUGUGAUGAACUACUUGUGCUUGUAAUGGAUUAUUUAAGUUUGUAAUGGACUACUUAUGCUUGUAAUGGACUAUUGACCUUGUGAUGGACUACUGGUGCUUGUAAUGGACUAUUGACCUUGUGAUGGACUCAUGGUGCUUGUAAUGGAAUAUUUGAUCUUGUCAUGAA